rnacentral:rRNA from 1 species
GACGAACGCUGGCGGCGUGCUUAACACAUGCAAGUCGAACGGAAAGGCCCUGCAUUUGUGGGGUGCUCGAGUGGCGAACGGGUGAGUAACACGUGAGUAACCUGCCCUUGACUUUGGGAUAACUUCAGGAAACUGGGGCUAAUACCGGAUAGGAGCUCCUGCUGCAUGGUGGGGGUUGGAAAGUUUCGGCGGUUGGGGAUGGACUCGCGGCUUAUCAGCUUGUUGGUGGGGUAGUGGCUUACCAAGGCUUUGACGGGUAGCCGGCCUGAGAGGGUGACCGGCCACAUGGGGACUGAGGGACGGCCCAGACGCCUACGGGAGGCAGCAGUGGGGAAUAUUGCACAAUGGGCGGAAGCCUGAUGCAGCAACGCCGCGUGCGGGAUGACGGCCUUCGGGCUGUAAACCGCUUUCGCCUGUGACGAAGCGUGAGUGACGGUAAUGGGUAAAGAAGCACCGGCUAACUACGUG